AGUGAACGCUGGCGGUAGGCCUAACACAUGCAAGUCGAACGGCAGCACAGGAGAGCUUGCUCUCUGGGUGGCGAGUGGCGGACGGGUGAGGAAUACAUCGGAAUCUACUCUGUCGUGGGGGAUAACGUAGGGAAACUUACGCUAAUACCGCAUACGACCUACGGGUGAAAGCAGGGGAUCUUCGGACCUUGCGCGAUUGAAUGAGCCGAUGUCGGAUUAGCUAGUUGGCGGGGUAAAGGCCCACCAAGGCGACGAUCCGGAGCUGGUCUGAGAGGAUGAUCAGCCACACUGGAACUGAGACACGGUCCAGACUCCUACGGUAGGCAGCAGUGGGGAAUAUUGAACAAUGGGCGCAAGCCUGAUCCAGCCAUACCGCGUGGGUGAAGAAGGCCUUCGGGUUGUAAAGCCCUUUUGUUGGGAAAGAAAUCCAGCUGGCUAAUACCCGGUUGGGAUGACGGUACCCAAAGAAUAAGCACCGGCUAACUUCGUGCCAGCCGCCGCGGUAA
rnacentral:rRNA from 1 species